rnacentral:rRNA from 1 species
AUUGAACGCUGGCGGCAGGCCUAACACGUGCAGGUCGAGCGGAUGAAGGGAGCUUGCUCCUGGAUUCAGCGGCGGACGGGUGAGUAAUGCCUAGGAAUCUGCCUGGUAGUGGGGGAUAACGUCCGGAAACGGGCGCUAAUACCGCAUACGUCCUGAGGGAGAAAGUGGGGGAUCUUCGGACCUCACGCUAUCAGAUGAGCCUAGGUCGGAUUAGCUAGUUGGUGGGGUAAAGGCCUACCAAGGCGACGAUCCGUAACUGGUCUGAGAGGAUGAUCAGUCACACUGGAACUGAGACACGGUCCAGACUCCUACGGGAGGCGGCAGUGGGGAAUAUUGGACAAUGGGCGAAAGCCUGAUCCAGCCAUGCCGCGUGUGUGAAGAAGGUCUUCGGAUUGUAAAGCACUUUAAGUUGGGAGGAAGGGCAGUAAGUUAAUACCUUGCUGUUUUGACGUUACCAACAGAAUAAGCACCGGCUAACUUCGUG